UGUUGCACCGCAUGAGUAAUGCAACGAAAGCCAAACAAAAUAGCCGUUUCUUUGGAAUCAGAAGCACGACAAGGGACUAAAAACAACCGAGGCCAGGUUUGGGCCAACCACGAGGUGCUGGUGGAGGAAACAGCUCUGCGGCUGGCGUUCGCCCCCUAGAAUUCCACCGCGGGUUUGUUAUCUGUUUGGCUGUGGCUGGAACUGACUGACAGAUGUGGAGAUUCAAAUCAUGCAAUACCUAUAGAUGGGCAGCCGAUGUCUAAAUGUCAACCACACGGAGGUGGGGAGGAAACAGCAGCCUCGUCCCAGGACUUCACCAGCACCCCUCCCACUGGCUCUCUCGAACCCUGGACCUUCUCUGCAGAGUCCCUGAGCCUUCCGCCUGGACUCUACACUGCGAUUUGAGACCCCUGCUUCGAGCUUUUCUCUCCUCCUUCACCUGGGCUACCAGCUUUGGCUUCCUGAGACACACACCCUCACGGGACCUCUGCAGGGGCCAGGGCGUCAACAAUCAGGGGAUGAGAGAAGCAGGGGAUUCAUCUAGAACCAGGCUAUCCCCAGCUACUCCUGACUGAGGCUAUUUCUAGCUGCACAGUGAGAAGGGAUUGGAACUUAACCUCAGAACCACU